AGGGGCAAGCGCCCAAGCUCACCCGCGACGUCAAGCCUGCCCUAACCUCGUGUUUCCCUUGCUCGGCUUCACCCCAUCGCCGCCGUCGCAACGUGCCCGCCUGUUUCCCUUGCUCGACUUCACCCCAUCGCCGCCGCCGCCGUCGCAAGCGACGAUGCUCGACAUCAACUUGUUCCGCACCGACAAGGGCGGCAACCCGGAGCUUAUUCGUGAGUCCCAGCGCAGCCGGUUCGCCUCCGUCGAGCUCGUCGACGAGGUCAUCGCCCUCGACAAGGCAUGGCGCGAAAGGCAGUUCGAGCUGGACAAGAUCCGGCAGGAGCUCAACGCUACCAGCAAGAAGAUUGGCAAGCUCAAAGCCAGCAAGCAAGAAGAGGAAGCGAAGAAGCUCAUGGAGAGCACAGACGAAAUUAAGAAAAGGUUGGCAGCCAAAGAAGUUGAGGUGCAGGAGGCCAAGAGCACCCUCGACGCCAAGCUCACGACGAUUGGGAACAUCGUGCAUGAGUCCGUGCCAGUCAGCGAAGACGAGGCAAACAAUAAAAUUGUACGGACAUUUGGAGAGAAGAGAGUAGAGGAAAAUUUGAAGAAUCACGUGGACCUUUGCAGGAUGCUUGACAUUGUCGCAUUGGAGAAGGGUGCUGAUGUGGCUGGUGGUAGGGGUUUCUAUUUAAAGGAUGAAGGUGUCCUCCUUAACCUGGCAUUGAUAAAUUUUGGGCUAGCCUUUCUGAGAAAACGGGGAUUUAAACCAAUGCAAACUCCCUUUUUCAUGAGAAAGGAAACUAUGGCAAAAUGUGCCCAGUUGGCCCAGUUUGAUGAGGAGCUUUACAAAGUUACAGGUGAUGGUGAAGACAAAUAUCUCAUAGCUACAUCAGAGCAGCCUUUAUGUGCUUAUCACUUAGGUGAUAGAAUAUACCCUGCUGAACUUCCAAUCAAAUAUGCUGGGUACUCCACAUGCUUCCGGAAGGAAGCUGGUUCGCAUGGAAGGGACACAGCUGGUAUCUUCAGAGUCCACCAGUUUGAAAAAAUCGAACAAUUCUGCAUUACAAGCCCAAAUGACAACGAUUCUUGGGAGAUGCAUGAAGAGAUGCUAAAAAACUCAGAAGAUUACUAUAAGGAGAUUGGGCUACCAUACCAAGUUGUUUCCAUUGUCUCUGGCGCUCUUAAUGAUGCUGCUGCUAAGAAAUAUGAUUUGGAAGCAUGGUUCCCUGCAUCAAAGACCUUCCGAGAGUUAGUAUCCUGUUCAAACUGCACUGACUUUCAGUCAAGGAGACUUGGAAUUGGGUAUGGCCAGAAAAAGAAUGAUGAGCAGUCCAAGCAGUUUGUUCAUAUGCUGAACUCUACCUUGACUGCCACUGAGAGGACCCUCUGUUGUAUUCUGGAGAAUUUCCAAAAGGAGGACGGCGUCGAGGUGCCAAAGGCACUGCAACCUUAUAUGGGUGGAAUAGAGUUUCUUCCUUUCAAGCAACCUUUGGAUGUCAAACAAGCUUCUGACUCCAAAUCAAACAAGUCCAAAUCAAAGGGAAAUGCUGCUUGAGCUGGAUGAGGAACACUAUGUUAAUUUUUGGGCCUACCAGUACACAAUACCCAUAGCAUGACUAUGGCGUUGCAGGUUUUCGUUUUACCCAUUUUGGUUUCUUGGUUGCCACAUUAUCUAAUGACCUACCUGGCAUACUUAUAUUGCAAUAGCAUUUCUUGAAAUCUGGAAUAUUUGACCACCAUCAGCUCUACCGGCUGUGUUUAUCGCGUUGCCACAGAACGCUGCUUGUUUGUCUCCGAAACCACCAGUGUUCUCUGUAGCACAUUAGUAACAAUUUGCUGGUGGAUUUGAUAUCAUCUUUUUUGAAUGAUGGUGUAUUGGUGUACUUGUGAUCGAUAAUGAAAAAGACAUCUUGUGUUAGUGGCAUCUAGUGCUGUUGUGGCUGGAACCUGGAAUUGUUCUUGGAUUCUCCCUUCGCAUCUCUUAUUUUGAAACCCGGUGCGGAUUGUUCGCACGAGAGCGUUUUCUGACGGGGUGGGAGUGCCUCCACCUGUAAGUCCCAGACGUGAAAUCUUCAUUCAAUUGCGCUCUGAGCGGGGUUCCGACGCAGCUUCCUCACGUGCCUAGCCUUCCACACUUCUCUGUCUGCCCACCCGUCGCCGCCUCAUCCUCCUAGGGUUAGGGCUCGCGUCGCGGGGGGCCGUGGCGCCUGGUGCAAUGCGGAAACCGUUGGGGCCGGCGCUCUGUGCAUCCGUCUCCGCGCGAUCUAGGUGCUGGUGGCGUUCUCCCUGAUCGACGCGCUCGCCAUGUUAUUCUUAUUCCUCGAAUCGCCCCUUGUGUUUACGUCGCUGCUCGGGGCAGGGGUGGCUGCCGCAGCGUCGCGGAAGCUCGACCUCUAUGACGCGAGGCAAGCAAUGCCGGCGCGUCUCGUGAAGAGCAUCCGCACAGGGAGGCCCUCUCGACGGACGCAUGGUGGCGAUGGGCGCACCGGUUAGCGUGGAUCGUCUCUGGCCUCGACCUCCCGCCACCUCAACUCUACAUGCCCUGGCUUGCUCCGCAAGGCAUGAUAUGCUGUUCGGGGAGCCUGGGAAGAGUGGUCUCGUGGCUCUCAACUUGGAUUUCGAUCAAGUCAAGAAGUUUAUCAAGGAGCGGCUGGGGAUUGAGGUUGAGAUGGGUGGUUGCAAGGCUUAAUUACGACCUUCAUCGUCGAGCCAUUUGUGCCACAUGAUCAAGACUACUAGCUUUCGAUUAUUUCAGAGAGGUUGGGCAGCACCAUCAGCUUCUCAGAGUGUGGAGGGAUUGAGAUCGAGGAGAACUGGGACAAAGUUAAGACUAUUUUUCUUCCUACUGAGAAGCCAACGAGGCAACGACGUCUGAUUCAUGUGCUCCUUUGAUUGCGACCCAUCCAUUGGAGGCACACAGAAAAAUUGGCGACUUCAUUAAAGGAGUAUUUGCUGUCUUCCAAGGUACCACAGAUUUGGGAAAUGUUUAUUUGCUGGCUGUAGUGAAUUAAGAAUUUUUCAUGUCACUAUAUUUUCUUAUUUGCCAUGUUUAUAAUAAUUAUGCUCCAUCUCCAUAUGGAUUUCUCAUUUCUUGAGAUGAAUCCGUUCACUAUGGUCAACGGGGAGACAUAUCCUCUGGACAUCAGAGGAGAACUAGAUGACACAACAGCCUUCAAAAACUUCAAGAAGUGAAUCUGAUAAACAGGGAUACCAUUUCUUGUUGUCAUUGUUGGAUUUACUCUUAUCAAUUGUGCAGGUGGGGAGGUAUAGAAUUCCCUCUACCUUUUGGAAGAGUACUCAGCCCUACAGAAAGUUUCAUCCAUGAACUAGAUGAGAAGGUAUUGAUCUCUGGGCUAUAUUUUUAUCUGUAUUUCUUUCCCUGGGGUCUAUCACAUAUAAAAUAAUCAGUUUCCAUGAGAAAUACGGGAUCUGCAGUGUAUUCUGUUGAUGUGUGUUAAUUCGCCAACCUUGUUAUUUCAGACAAGUGCUUGUUCUUUUGUGCUACUUUGCAUGUCCUGUUGAUGUUAUACCCUGAUUUAAGGCUGUUCUUCAUUUUCCUUGCGACUGGAUUUGAACCUGAGGACGAUGUUUGUAGGACCAUGCAUCUAUUGUAUUUAAAGUUUAAAUUAAACAUAACCACCUUUUUCUAAUGAAAAUAUGAUGCUGCGCUUACCUGUGUUAAAUUUAGUAGUUCCCCUUUCACUGAGCUAAUAAAAAGUUGCUUUGUUGUGAUGCCAUGGCUAGCAAGUUCUUUCAUCUUUGUUUGCCAUUCUAUUGUUGAUAGUGAGAGUGAGCAUGAGGUGCACGCUGAUGUACUCAAGCGGUUCAAACUGCCAGCGAAGAUCAUGUAGAGCUCCUCUCUUCACUUUCACUACCACACACACAAAGAGUUCUCAGUGUUUCCUUUUGUAUGCAGGGAGUUUUCCGUACCGCCGACAUGUGAACGAUUUAUAUAGGGACUUCCCUACUACUGCUUUAACACUUCUGGACUAUCUACUUGCGGUGUUUGUCAGUUUGGUCAUUCUAUCUUAAACUGCAUGCAAUUCUUUUCCUGAGGGUUGAGCUAACGUGAACCUCAAAUUCCACAGAUUGAGAUAAUCUUGGGAAAGAGUGACAAAUUCGAUGAGUUGAUGGUUGCUGCCGCCGCCGAGAGGCGAGAAGUUGAAGAUGAAGAGCAGGCUUGAAAAAACAGUGCCGACCAUCCCUGCCACGCGUGACGCCUCCGCCGGCCCCCGUAGGAUCCUUUCGUCUCCUGCUGUGGCCUCUUCAUUCGCAGCCGCCCCAUCAGCCCAUCCUCCACGGCUGGCCUGAAUCGCCUUGCAGCCCCUUGUCUUCCCCGUCCGCCUCUUUUACUGAUUUGUUUGAAAGGUAACAGUGUGUUGCUCUUUUGUUGUUUUGAUGAUUCUAACUGAAUGUAUAAAGAAGUCCCCUCUC